UGGGGAAUCUUGCACAAUGGAGGAAACUCUGAUGCAGCGACGCCGCGUGAGCGAUGAAGCCCUUCGGGGUGUAAAGCUCUUUCGUCAGGGACGAUUAUGACGGUACCUGGAGAAGCAGCUGCGGCUAACUACGUGCCAGCAGCCGCGGUAAUACGUAGGCAGCAAGCGUUGUUCGGAGUUACUGGGCGUAAAGGGUGCGUAGGCGGCUUUUUAAGUUUGGUGUGAAAUCUCCCGGCUCAACUGGGAGGGUGCGCCGAAUACUGAGAAGCUAGAGUGUGGGAGAGGAAAGUGGAAUUCCUGGUGUAGCGGUGAAAUGCGUAGAUAUCAGGAGGAACACCGGUGGUGUAAACGGCUUUCUGGACCAUAACUGACGCUGAGGCACGAAAGCGUGGGUAGCAAACA
rnacentral:rRNA from 1 species